rnacentral:rRNA from 1 species
CAGGGAAUAUUAGAAAUGGACGAAAGUCUGAUCUAGCAACACCGCGUGUGCGAAGAAGGCCCUCGGGUCGUAAAGCACUUUUUGGAAGGAAUAGGAAGGAAUGUACUUCCAGAAUAAGUCUCGGCUAACUACGUGCCAGCAGCCGCGGUAACACGUAGGAGGCAAACGUUAUCCGGAUUUACUGGGCGUAAAGCGCGUGUAGGUGGUACUGUAAGUAGGGCGUGAUAGCUCCUGGCUCAACUGGGAGAGGCCGUUCUAAACUACAGAACUAGAGGAUGGUAGAGGGAGGUGGAAUUCCAGGUGUAGCGGUGGAAUGCGCAGAUAUCUGGAGGAACACCGGUGGCGAAGGCGGCCUCCUGGACCAUUCCUGACACUCAGACGCGAAAGCUAGGGUAGCAAACGG